GUCAGGGUCUUUCUAUGUUGCCCAUGCUGAACCCUGAGCUGGAACAAUCCCAACUCAGUCUCCUGAGUAGCUAUGACUAUAGGCAUGUGCCAAUCAUUGGGUUUCUCCCCUGUUCCCUUGCUGGGAAUGGAACCCAGGGCCUUGCACAUGCAAAGCAUGCACUCUACCAAUGAGCCACAUCCCCAGCCAAUGGGAUUAUAUCAAAUGAGUUCUUUAAAAAGAGAACUUCUUAGCUGGGCUCAAUUGGUUGAGUUCCUCCUGAAAAAUUUUUUGUGUGUGUGUGUGUGUGUGUGUUUUUCAGGGCUAAAGUAUCACAUACACUAGAAAAGAAGCCAAGACAUUAGCAUUUCACAUUCUCAAUAUAUGUGCUGAGAGCACUUGCGCUGGUUGUUUUUAGAUAUUAAUUGUCACCAGUAACAGGAUGAAGAAGUUUCCUGGUUUAGGAGAAGUGAUUGGAGAGAAGCUAGAAAACAGAAAAGGGUGUCUUGUACUGGGUAGGAGGUUUGCACAGAUAAUCUUUGACAUCCCUCAGAGUUUUAAGAUUCUAAACCAUGGGCCUGGCUGGAAAAAGAGCUUGCUGUAUUGUCUUCUCACAGAGCAGGGGCCAUCUGUGACACACAGGCUCAAUUUUACACAUCAACAUUCCUCUGUGAUCAAGAGGCAGGCACCAGAUAGACACAUGUGUUCUAGGAAAUGGUUGUUCCCUGCAUGGCAUCACUGCCCCCUUCUGCAGGCCCACAUGCUGCUGUGCCCUUUUGUAUGCCCCCCGAAAUUCUUGUCUCUUAUCACCUAGUGGUCUCUGCUGUUGGCCUGCCUCCGUGCAGCCGCUCCAUCCUGCACUCUGCAGAUUGACUUCCUUGACUCCACGUAGCCUGUGUUUCCCCGUAACUCAGUGUGUAUUUUGAUUUGUCUUGACAGGGUGCCAACUCUGUCCUCAAUUUCACAUGACUUCCGUUCAACUCAUUCACAGCUGAGUACUGGUUCUCAUUCAGGGUCCCAUCUCCAGAUCUUCUACAACAGUGUGCUGCCCAUCUGGGUUCAGGUGUUCACCCCAAUUUGAUUAUUGGGGAAAUAGGAAGGUACAGAGACAGAAACCCCAUCUAGCAGUGGUAGGAAGGGUUCCCAUGGAAGGAGUUGUGUCUAGCUGAGACUCCAGGUGAGUCAGCUGCUCGGGAGUGCACACCUGGAAAUGGGACACUCCUACGGUCAUUGUUCCAUUGCAUUCUGCUCUGGUAAGAGUCUAUGACUAGUUCUGCAACUAAGGAGACAGUAAGAGCACUGGGGAAAGGACUCACUGUGGAUCCCAAGUAUGAAAUUAUGGGGAGGAGGCCCUUCCAGUUCUAGAAGUCCUGAUUCCUAUGGAAACAUAAAAGAACAGCAAAAGCAACCAGUAGAAGAGUAGCUCAUAUAUGAAUUCCACCCUAUAAAGGAGUUAUCUGUUGGAUGUAUAUAACAAAAAAGCCUAAAUUUCAGUGAGAAACCACAGUAAUGCACCAUUGAUACACACUAUUAGCAAUUUCAAUUAUUUGACCCACAUUUCUGACAAGGCUGAGGUACUGCUUGCAUUCACACAUGGCUGGUGUCCACUGACAUAGCAUUUUCAGGAUCUCAAAAAAUUGACCAACUGUUUCUACCCCUGUUUCUACAGACCAGAGGCAGAGGCACUGUGUUCACACCACACCACCUGCUGGUUGAGCUGGGGCACAGGUGCUCUCACCAGAAUUCUCUGACCCACCCAGACAUCAAAGUCAUGGGAGUAUGGAUGGGGUGAAGUGCACACUGCCAGGCACUGAGAGUAACUGGGACACAUCUUUUGGGAUGGGUCCCCAGCUCUCUUUUCUAUAAAGCUCCACAGAUAUUUCUGAUGAUCCGUCAGGACUAAAAACAGUAGAACUUUUUAUUUUCAACUGGAAACAUAAAAAAGCUGUUUUGUUGGUUGUGUUUUCCUGGCCACGACCAGCUUGUAGGAAAGUACAAGGCUUUCCUGAGAAAGCACAGUGGCACCCCACCUAGUCCACAUCACACCACACCCCACCCUGAGAAUUCCAGAAUGAACCCACA
rnacentral:lncRNA from 1 species